rnacentral:rRNA from 1 species
UCGGAAUUACUGGGCGUAAAGCGUGCGCAGGCGGUUUUGUAAGACAGUGGUGAAAUCCCCGGGCUCAACCUGGGAACUGCCAUUGUGACUGCAAGGCUAGAGUGCGGCAGAGGGGGAUGGAAUUCCGCGUGUAGCAGUGAAAUGCGUAGAUAUGCGGAGGAACACCGAUGGCGAAGGCAAUCCCCUGGGCCUGCACUGACGCUCAUGCACGAAAGCGUGGGGAGCAAACAGGAUUAGAUACCCUGGUAGUCAAGGGCG